CCUACGGGAGGCAGCAGUGAGGAAUAUUGGUCAAUGGUCGGGAGACUGAACCAGCCAAGCCGCGUGAGGGAUGAAGGUACAGAGUAUCGUAAACCUCUUUUGUCAGGGAACAAAGGCGGGGACGUGUCCCCGAAUGAGUGUACCUGAAGAAAAAGCAUCGGCUAACUCCGUGCCAGCAGCCGCGGUAAUACGGAGGAUGCGCGCGUUAGCCGGAUUUUUUGGGUUUAAAGGGUGCGAAGGCCGUGUGUUAAGUCAGCGGUAAAAGCCCGGGGCUCAACCCCGGCCCGCAGUUGAAACUGGCAGUCUCGAGUGGGAGAGAAGUAUGCGGAAUGCGCGGUGUAGCGGGGAAAUGCAGAGAUAUCGCGCAGAACUCCGAUUGCGAAGGCAGCAUGCCGGCUCCACACUGACGCUGAGGCACGAAAGCGUGGGUAUCGAACAGGAUUAGAUACCCGGGUAGUC
rnacentral:rRNA from 1 species